GAACUGUGUCGUUCUUUGCCUAACGGAAACCUGGCUCAGCAAUAGCAUGUCAGACUUAGCCUUCCAGAUCAUCAGUCUUUGGUUAUUCCGAGUGCUCCGUGGCCACCGGUCUGGAAAAACACGGGGAGGAAGACUCUGAAUGUUCUGGGUGAAGGAUGUGUUCUAUGCUUAUGGACCGCAUGUACCGAUACUCCCAGAAAGAAAUCCCACAGACUGCUGGAAAGAAGUAUACUCUGGGUUUCUGAACAGAUUCAGCUGUGAGUGUAACGCUCGACUAAGAUCCAACUGACUCUUCUCUUAAAGUUUCAUGCAGGAGUGCUCAAUUGUGUAAUGAAUUUUUAUAUAUAAAUUGUAACAUCAUGACUUCAAUAAUCUGCUGGUCAUUUUGUCUCUUCAUUCUAAGUGUUUAUGAACUCUCACCUAAUGAACCUGUCUGUGUUGCACAGGCAGGGUUUGAUGUUGUUUUUUGCAGGAACCAGAUUCUCUCAAUCAUUCCAGAGCGUUUGUCAGCAACUGACCAAUUGGCAUCGCAAGUACACACCUCUUAUCCGUAGGAACUGACCUCAGACAAUAUUGACAGUAUUUAGCAUAGCAAACACACUGCGGUCAGAGAGAUUUUGAGAAAUAAUAGAUGUUCAGUGGUGAACCUAACUAAAUGACAUUACCUAAAGCAUACAAAGGGUCUUACUCUAUGCACAAAUUGAGUCAAAGGAAAGUUUCCACCUAGAUGGACAAAUAGUUUUAACUUUUCUUAUAUACAGUAUAUAUAAUUAAUAUAAGGCUCUACCAACAAAAAGGCUUUUAGAACAAUAUAUAAAUAUGUGACUUUUUGCUUGUAUUUGUUUAACAACCCUGGUUGUCAUGUAUUCUGUGGACCUCAUUGUUUGUUAUUGCUUUUUGCUCAAUUAUGUUUCUUAAAGAAAAAUAUAAAUUUUUUCAUAUGUGGGCUCACUGAUAUUUUGAAAUGUGUACAUUGUAAUUGUUUUUUAAUAUAGUUUGUCAUGUUGCUUUUCGUAUGUCUAUUUCUUUUAUUCCUCUGAUAAUUGAGCGAGAUGCAUAGGUUUUAUGUACAAUGUGUGCUUUAUUUUGAGUACAGUUUGUGUUCUAAUUCUAAUAACAUCUUAUUUAAAAAAAAACAAUAAUGGCACCAUUGCACACCAGAACUGAGGGGGGUGAUAUUUCCUGUCAUGGACAUAGUAUCCAAUGUUUCUUUUAUUAUUAAACAAAUACUAAUAAUAUACCAUAAUAUAUUCAUUACCAAAUUA